GAGAGCUCUUAGAGGGAUUAUCCGCAGCCUGAAGAAAGAAGGUUACAACUGAGGAAGAACUUCUGAACAGGGAAGAGUGGAAGAAAAGACUGCAGUACGUAGAGCAUCAAGGGAAGCUGUGGAAAUAUAUUUUCUUAAGUACAGGCUCAGCUCCAGAAGCAGACCCAGAAUGGCAUCCUUCUCUGAGACCCAGACCCCAGCCCCUUUUCAUGGAAGACCAGCACAAAGGAGGAAGUAGGUUAGGGAAUGGUAAGGCUCCAUGUGAUGGGACUAAUGUGGAGAGGCCUGGGGCCUUUCCCUGAGGACUGGAUGGCUGGAGUUUGGGAGCCUGAGUUGACAGAGGAGGCUAAGCCCGGGCAGCUACUUUGUUCCAGAAAUCUAAGGUCCCUGGAGGGAGGCUCUGCUUUGGGAGGGGGAAGGGAGCUAACAUUGCAGAGCACCAACUGUGAACCAGGUACAAUGGCAGAGCCUUUCCAUACCUGUACUCACAACUAGCGGGUGAGGAGUCAAGGCAAAUAGGUGUCUCAUAGCUCCCCAUAUCUCGGCAGUCGACCACCUCCUCCUUUGAUUCUCUGAUGUCACUGCCAGUUCUCCUCCUAUUGCUCUGACCUGUCUUUCUCUGUGUCCUUUGCAAACUCAUUCUCAACUCCUUAGACUCAGUCAAGUCCCCCAGUUACACACUUCCAUGGUACUAUAUAUCAUUCCUUCAGAGCACUUAACACAGUUAUUUCCUAUGUAUUUGUCCAGUCAUUUGAAUAAUGAUCCUAGUUUCAUUGGAUGGAAAGUUCCACAAGGUCAGUGACCAUUUCUAUCUGUGUUCACCAAUGUGUUCC
rnacentral:lncRNA from 1 species